AGAGUUUGAUCCUGGCUCAGAACGAACGCUGGCGGCGUGGAUAAGACAUGCAAGUCGAGCGCUGAUUACAGGGUAGCAAUAUUCUGUGGUCGGAGCGGCGCAAGGGUGCGUAACACGUGGGUAAUCUGCCAUGAAGUUUGGGAUAACUUGCUGAAAGGCGAGCUAAUACCGGAUGUGACAACUGGAAGGCAUCUUUUGGUUGUCAAAGUUGGGGACCGUAAGGCCUGACGCUUCAUGAUGAGCCCGCGGCCUAUCAGCUAGUUGGUGAGGUAACGGCUCACCAAGGCUAAGACGGGUAGCUGGUCUGAGAGGACGACCAGCCACACUGGAACUGAGACACGGUCCAGACACCUACGGGUGGCAGCAGUCGAGAAUUUUUCACAAUGGGCGCAAGCCUGAUGGAGCGACGCCGCGUGGGGGAUGAAUGGCUUCGGCCCGUAAACCCCUGUCAUUUGCGAUCAACCGUUAUUAUUUAAAAGAUGAUGACCUGAUAGUAGCGAAAGAGGAAGGGACGGCUAACUCUGUGCCAGCAGCCGCGGUAAUACAGAGGUCCCGAGCGUUGUUCGGAUUCACUGGGCGUAAAGGGUGCGUAGGUGGUGAGGUAAGUCGGAUGUGAAAGCUCGGAGCUCAACUCCGAAAUGGCAUUGGAAACUACCUUGCUCGAGGGUUGGAAGGGGGACUGGAAUGCUUGGUGUAGCAGUGAAAUGCGUAGAUAUCAAGCGGAACACCAGUGGCGAAGGCGAGUCCCUGGACAACUCCUGACACUGAGGCACGAAAGCUAGGGGAGCAAACAGGAUUAGAUACCCCAGUAGUCC
rnacentral:rRNA from 1 species